GACGAACGCUGGCGGCGUGCUUAACACAUGCAAGUCGAACGAAGUGGCGAACGGGUGAGUAACGCGAAAUCAACCUGCCCUUCAGAGGGGGACAACAGUUGGAAACGACUGCUAAUACCGCAUCCUGAAGGCGGGGUUUGUGUCUGAUUAGCUAGUUGGAGGGGUAACGGCCCACCAGGGCGAUGAUCAGUAGCCGGUCUGAGAGGAUGAACGGCCACAUGGAGACUGAGACACGCCCCAGACUCCUACGGGAGGCAGCAGUGGGGAAUCUUCCGAAAUGGACGAAAGUCUGACGGAGCAACGCCGCGUGAGAGAUGACGGCCUUCGGGUUGUAAAGCUCUGUUAAUCGGGACGCGGUACCGGAAUAGAAAGCCACGGCUAACUACGUGCCAGCAGCCGCGGUAAUAC
rnacentral:rRNA from 1 species